UCCAUAAAAACUCUUCUUACUUCAUAUAUUUUAAAUGGCUAAGGAGAUGGUUGCCAAACUUGAUAAAACCUCUUU